GAUCCUGGCUAGAACGAACGCUGGCGGCAGGCCUAACACAUGCAAGUCGAACGCUCGUAGCAAUACGAGAGUGGCAGACGGGUGAGUAACACGUGGGAACCUUCCCUAUGGUUCGGAAUAGCCCAGGGAAACUUGGGGUAAUACCGGAUAAGCCCUUACGGGGAAAGAUUUAUCGCCAUUGGAUGGGCCCGCGUCGGAUUAGCUAGUUGGUGGGGUAACGGCCUACCAAGGCGACGAUCCGUAGCUGGUCUGAGAGGAUGAUCAGCCACACUGGGACUGAGACACGGCCCAGACUCCUACGGGAGGCAGCAGUGGGGAAUAUUGGACAAUGGGCGCAAGCCUGAUCCCAGCCAUGCCGCGUGAGUGACGAAGGCCUUAGGGUUGUAAAGCUCUUUUGGCGGGGAAGAUAAUGACGGUACCCGCAGAAUAAGCUCCGGCUAACUUCGUGCCAGCAGCCGC
rnacentral:rRNA from 1 species